AGGUCAGGGAUCGAGCAAGACUCUGUUUCUUUGAAGAAUUCCCCCAGGAGCUGCGUGUCAUGCCAGUGUGCUCUAAGGGGACAGAAAACGUCUUCUGUUUCCAGGUGAAAGGGAAAGAUGGGGAGGGGUAUACUAGAAGGAGACUCACUAGAAGGAGACCCACUAAAAGGAGAGUGAUUUUUCAAGGAAGUUCACUGUAGAAAUGACACCCUUAAAAGCAGGUGUGUUUUCUUGGAUGAAUUUAAGGGGAGCUUCCAAAGCCAGGAGAGCAAAGAGAGCAGCAAGUUUCCUGAGAAGGGAGGGCAGAAAGAGUCCUCAGUGGAGAGGAAAGACUGCAGGUGGAGGAUCUUAGUGCCCCGACCAGAGAUGGAACCCCUGCCCCACUGCAGUGGAAGCACAGAGUCCUAACCACUGGACCACCAGGGAAUUCCCACAAACAUCUGAUUAAAAAAAAUUUUUUUUUAAGAUUUUUUGAUGUGGACCACUGUCUUUAUUGAAUUUGUUACAAUAUUGCUUUCGUUUUAUGUUUUGGUUUUUUGCGGGGGCCACAAGGCAUGUGAGAUCUUAGCUCCCCAAUCAGGGAUCAAACCCGCACCCCGUGCAUUGGAAGGCGAAGUCUUAACCACCGGACCACCAGGGAAGUCCCUGUUUUGUUUUUAAUGUGACGUGAACUUAAGAUUUUUUUUCCUUCUCCUUCAGAAGAUAUCAGAGGAUAUCUGCAUUGUGGGGUGUGGAGAUGUUAAAAUCCUACUGUUUAUCCUUGCAACUCCUGUUAUUUUCUCCCAUCCCAAGCAUGAAUAUUUACCUCCAACAAAGCCAAAGUUGA